GUCUAUGGCCAUACUACCCUGAACAAGCCCAAUUCCAUCUGAUUUUGGAAGCUAAGCAGAGUAGGUCCUGGUUAGUACUUGGAUGGGAGACUACCUAGGAAGACCAGCUGCUGUAUGUG
ensembl:rRNA 5S_rRNA 5S ribosomal RNA